GUGCUCCAGGCACGUUUGCUGAGAGCUGUGGGUUCCCUGCCCGUCCGUUUGAGAUCAUGUUUUCAUUCCUGCUGGUUACAGCCAGGCCGUGAGGAAGCAGGCUUGCUUGGGAAACCCCUUGGACAUAUGUUUAAUUUACUCUCUGAUUUUGUCUUCAAAAAUAAAAACAAAAUUGUCAUCUCGUAAAUUCUACUCCAGAAGAGUAAAGGCGUACAGACUUAUUUUAUAUGUAUAUACAAACCAGACAGAUUAUUUUUGGUGGUUUGCUAUGUUUUUGAAACUGUAGGCAUUUCUCAGAUAAAAUUGCUCAGUCCCCAAGCGUCCACAAUGAGGAUGGGAAAGGUCCCUCCAUAACUUUGAAGAAAUACUUGUCAUUUCUUCAUUCCUGGGGGGCUUGUUGGUGCCACGGGGACUGGCCUGAGGAAGGUGUUCAUUGGGCUCCUGCCCCCGAGUGCCUUUGUUGUUACGUACCGUUUUUGACAUGCUCUGCAACUUGCUGUAAACUCUUGUUAUUGGUUUAGUUGUUUGAUUCUCCGGCCAACCACAAAAACUGUUUUUCUUGCUGUUUUCUGAACUUCAUAAGGUUAAAUUUUAAUAGAGCUCUGAACUUGGUAAUAGUUUCACGCAUGACUGGGCAAGUACUUUUCUUAGUCACUUUCUCCUUUGCAAAAAGGCCUUGAAAACUAAAUUGCUAAAUUAUGAACAAAGACAGUUUUAUUUUUUUCUUCCUAUCUGUAUACCUUUGUACCCUUUCUUUCCUUCCCUUACUACAUUAGCUAGGACUUCAGUGCUUUUCAGUUGAAAAGCAGUCAUGAGAAGGGGCGUCCUUGCCUUGUUCCUGAUCUUAGUGGGAAAGCUUCUAUUUUCUCACCAUUAAGUACGUUAACUGCAGAUAUUUUGUGGGUGUUCUUUACCAAGUUGAGGACGUUCCCUUCCUAGUUGACUGGGAGUUUUUAUUCUGCAUUGGUGUUUGAUUUUGUCAAACACUUUUUCUGCAUCUACUGAUAGGAUCAUAUGCUAUCAUAUUCUUCUUUAGUCUGUUGAUAUGAUGGAUUACACUAAGCAAUUUUUUUUAGGUUGUUUUUUUUUUUUUUUUUUUUUUUGAGAGAGAGAGAGAGAGAGAGAGCAAGUGGGGAAGGGGCAGGGGGGGGGGGGACAGAAGAUCUGAAGCGGACCCUUUACUGACAGGCUGACAGCAGUGAGCCUGAUGUGGGGCUCGAACCGGCAAACUGUGAGAUCGUGACCUGAGCCGAAGUUAGACGCUUAACUGGCUGAGUCACCCAGGCUCUCCUAUACUAAGUCAUUUUUGAAUGUUGAACCAGCCUUGCAUACUUGGAAUAAAUCCCAGUUGGCCGUGGAGGAGUUUUUGUACACCGUUGUUAUUAAUUGUACGCAGUCGAUUGAUGGUGCUGUAGAGUUCAACCAUGUUCUUAAUGAUUUUCUGCCUGCUGGAUCUGUCCAUUUCUGAUAAGAGGGGUUGUGCUUUAUAUCUUUUGUGAUCCUGAUACUAGGUGCACAUGAAUUUAGAACUCCUACAUCUUUGUAAUAAAUCGACCCUUUUAUUUUUAUGAGGGGUCUCUCUUUAUCUCUGGUAAUGCUUUCCCCAUAAAGUCCAUUUUGUCUGCUAUUAAGAUAACUGUACCAGCCUCCUUUGGUGUUUCCUGAGUGUUUGUGGCAUUCCAGUCAGAAGGCAGAACCACACUGUGACUAGGACAGGGAGGUCUCCAUGUCAGAAAUCCUUCUCAGGGUGUUGGUCGAAGAGUUACUGGCUGGUGGGAGUUAAAGCGAACUCCAAAGCAUAGAGGAAAGGCAGAUGUGAGGAGCACCUUUGCCCCAGCGCUGAGACUGCUCCCCAGAUGGAGUAGUCCUGAGGCCGUCUGGCGGAACUCACUGGAAAUCCAAGCUCUGGGGGCAGGGGAUCUGCUGGAACCAAAGCUGGAGUCCUCUCCCAGUCCCGUGAGCUCGUGUGCUGCUCUGGUCAGGGGGAUGCUGGCUGGGCGGCUGCUCUGUGGGGCCUGGUGGGGGCAGUGGGCUGAGGUGCCACUUGUGCCGUUGGGGUCUCCUGGAGGAGGCUUGGCUCUCUGCAGUGGUCAGAACCGGGAAGAGAAAGCCCCCAUGGACCAGGCAUACUAGCACCAGGCCUUGACAGGGUAUGGAGCAGGGCACUGGAGUAGAUGGGGAUUUGCAAGACCUUGGUUGUGAGCAAGGGGAAUGCGUUCAAUUAUGUGCUUCAUCCUAAAAACUAUUGAAUAUUUACCAUGUGUUUUAAUAAGGUCGAGUUUGCAACUGUAUAUUUGAAGGAGAAACCCAACAGACUCUAGGUUUCAUGAGCUUGUUUUAUUUCUAGACACUUACGGGGAAGAGGGAAUUGAUCUUCGAUUUGGAGGAAAUGAGGAGUGUUUGUAUAUUUCAGAAAACACGUGGCAGCAUAAAUGUUUUUACCAGGUGCAUCAGAAUUACAAACUGUAAAUGUGAUAAGGUAUUUUCAUAGGAUGUGGUAACAAUCUCAAGUCCAAGCAUUUUACAAGAUUUUUUUGCUUUUAGAAAUAACAUUUGCAAGGAUAGGGUUUUUUUUUUUAAUGUUUACUUAUUUUGAGAGAGAGACAGAGCGUGAGCAGGGGAGGGGCAAAGAGAGAGGGAGAGAGAGAAUCCCAAGCAGGCUCUGUGCUGUCAGUGCAGAGUCCAAUGUGGGGCUUGAUCCCACAACCAUGAGAUCAUGGCUUGAGCUGAAAUCAGGAGCCGGAUGCUCAAUUGACAGAGCCACCCAGGCGCCCCUAGAAAUUUCUGUAAUUUCCACUUGCACAGGGUUUUAAGGUGAGUAUUUGUAUCAUGUUAUAUUGAGAGGGAAAAAAAAGCCUUAGAAAUUCAAACUUCACACUGUGGAAAGUAAAGGAUAUUCAGAGCUGAUAACUUAUGGCAGAGUUCUUCCUGUUAAGGAGGAAACAUCCUAAACAAAUAGGUAUGGACUAUGAAACUUGGGCCUCUUAAAUAUGCAAGAAACACACUGUAGAAAAGCCAGUAUCAAAAAAAAAAAAAAAAAAAAAUUCAAUC